rnacentral:rRNA from 1 species
GUCUGGAACAAGAGUACAAAAGGGAGACCAGUCUGAUCUUGGAAGCUAAGCAGGGUCGGGCCUGGUUAGUAAUUGGAUGGGAGACCACCUAGGAAGACCAGGUGCUGUAGGCA